rnacentral:pre_miRNA from 1 species
AGGCAAGAUGUUGGCAUAGCUGUUGACCUAAGAACCUGCUAUGCCAACAUCUUGUCAUC